CCGAAAACAAGAAUUCUGCAAUUAUGAAUCUCCAGUUUAGUUCCUGUUAGUAUAAAAUGAUCAGUUAUCUUGAACAGUUGUUGGCAGAUUCCUUAAAACUGACUGGUGUACAGGACACGGCCCCUGGCUCUCUCUCAUAGUUUUUUCACAACUACUUUGGCACAUUUCUCCAAACAUUUUUCAAGUUCCUACACCAGCUCUCAACCUGCAAGAAGCUGUAACUCGCCCACAACCUUUAAUCCAUGUGUUAAAAAAGUUGUAAAGUGGUUACUGCUAUCAAAACAAGUUGCUUUGACACUGUAUCUGUGUGUGGUUAAAGGGCUCAAAGGGCGUUCCUCAUGUCUGUAUUUUCUUUCCAUAAAAAAACAAUUUUAUUUUUCCUGCAGUGGUCACACAACCCAGUACAGUAUGGUGAACAGGAAAAAAUGUAAAACAUUUUUUAUAUUUUUCAUCAGUAUAAACAUAAUAUUGUGUGUUUAAUGACUAAAACUCUAACCUGGUAGACAGAGUAAAGCCUUGAUCCUAUUUUGGGUCCGAGUGAUGAAAAUGUCAUCAUCACACGAUGAGCACGAGGGUCCGUGUGAAUGUCAGCAUGCGUGCCUGUUUUUUGUGACCGCUUGGAAUCGUCCACAGAGAAUUUACAUUACAAUGCACCAACUGCACAUGCAAGUGGACUUCAAAGUGUAAUAGGAAUGACAACUUGGCUUUCAUGUCUCCGGCUGUCUGUGUCUAUUUUGAUCAUAAAUAUACUGUACAUGCAUCAAUGAACUGUUCAGAUUGUAAGAGCUAAGUACACCGUGUUCAAUAGCCUGUAGAGCCACCUUAAGUAGCAUUAACUUUUUUGGAGGGAGGCCUUUUUCAGCUUUAUUUGAUAGAUACAGUGAAGAAAGGACAGGAAAGCAGGGAAGACAUGUGAUAAAGGGCCACGGGUCAGGCUCGAACCUGAGCCAGCCGCUUUCGGCCAUGUGGCAAGUGGUUGCCUGCUCAACGCACUGAGCCAAACCAGUGCCCAAGUAGCACUAACCCUUUUCUGUAUGAUGUCAUCAGUCUCUCGGUUUGUGGAUAAAUUGUGGCCCACCCUUCUUUACAAGAUUGAUUCGACUUAUUGAGAGUUGCCGCAUUUCAGCUUGUUUGGCACUUUGACUUGAAACACCUUUUAUUCUUUUCUUUUUCACUCGUUCCGUUGUAGAUAAGGGAUGUUUAUAGUUCACGGUCAACUCAGUGACUACAGUGUGCCCAGGUUGUG